rnacentral:rRNA from 1 species
AUGAUCGUUGGCGGCGUGCUUUACCAAUGCGAGUCGUCGGUACGGGGCAGCUCUUCGGAGCAGUCCCGACCGUGGCGUCCGGGUGCGUAACACGUAGCUAAUUACCGGAUGGUGGGGGAUUUCCUCGGGAUUCCGAGGGUAUUCUCGCAUAUGGUCGCUUGGUUAUACGGGUGGACGAAAGCUGUUGAAGGGAUCUUUCAAUGGCGCCAACUGAGGGGGCUGCGGCCGAUUAGCUAGUUGGUGGGGUAUGGCCCACCAAGGCUGUGAUCGGUAGCGGGUCUAGAGGAUGAUCCGCCACACGGGGUCUGAAACUGGUCUCGAGCUUUACGGGGUUUAGCAUGGAGGAAUCUUGCGCAAUGGGCGAAAGCCUGACGCAGCGACGCCGCGUGGGGGAUGAUGGCCUUCGGGUCGUAAAUUUUUUUUUGGGGGUCGCAAAUGACGGUACUUCAGGAAUAAGCCACGGCUAACUAGGUGCCAGCAGCCGCGGUAAUAC